ensembl:lncRNA
UCAAAAUUGGUUCAUAUAUAUUUAUUGCAAUUUUUUGGAAAGAGACAACUAAGUGUGUGCAGCAAACCUUAGCAAGAUGCGCUAGCAGGGCAACGAUGUUAACCAGGGAGGUGACGUUGGAGCAGAGGCCUGACUGAGGUGGAGGCAGCGUGACCUUACCUGGGGCCCAGCCGUCCUUCCUGUCGAAUGCUGACUCACCCUGUCUGCUAAAUGAAAUGCCCCUGCAUCCAGAAGCUUUCUUCUCGUCCCUCCUGACACGGUGACGGCGACAGUAACUAUUUCUUACUCAGUUUUCUCGGGCCUUUUUGCUUUACUUCUACUCCAGUACUUAUUAUUUUAUUCUUCCUAAUGUUACAGGUUCAUUGCUUACAAAUCUGAGUUUCCCCAAAGAAAGGCACCUCAAACCUGUGUUAAUUAGCAUCAACAGCAGAACAUAGGAGGAACAUAAGACAUUUACCUGUGAACAAAUUACAAGAAUUGCAGUGGAAAUUGAUUUGUACAGAACAUAUACCUACAGCCUGAAGGCUUUUUAAUAUAUUUAUCUUGUUUUAAUGAGUUGAUUUCCUUUUCUUCCCUGCUGUUCCCUUUAUAUUAUUUCAUAAGGCUCUGAGCUCCAAUCACUAUUUUUGGCUCUCUCAGCUCCCAGUAGAACUCUCCUUAUGAAAAGGUAUAUUGAAUGAUUAUUUCAUCUGACAUGACUUAAAAGGGUCUGGGAAGCCACUUCAUUCCCCUACAGACAAUUUUCCCAUCUGUUCACUGCUAAUUAACAACUCCUGAAUUAGAGAGAAAAUUUUUCAUUCUAUAGUUAUGGAAAUUUAAAUACUUUAAGAGGUUUUGUGGAAAAAUGACAAAUUCGUAUUGCUUUACUUUCUUUCUUCCCUCUCUUUCUCCAUCCCUCUCUCCACCCUUUCUUCGUCAUUUUUUCUCCUGUUCUUUCCUCUGUAAGAAUUUAGAGCAUGCUAAUCUGUGCCAUGCAAUGUGGUAGACAUGGAGGAACUAUGAUGACUCCAACCAGGCUCUGUGCUCGAAGAAGCCCAAGAAGAAUUGGCAAGAUGUACGUGUCAGCCGAUAGCCACAAUGCAAAGUGCUGACUGGCGUGCUGAAGGACUGCUCAGACUGUCAUGAGGAAGGAGAGAAAAGUUGCUCGUCCCUAAGGAGAAAUGGAGGAGAAGGAGCCCAGAAGACAAGUCUACCGGAGGCAAACUCCCCCAACUUGACAGUCUUCCCUCUGGUGGUCAGUGUCACGUACUGACUAAAGGCAUCGCCACACUCACAGGGAUAAAGGAGAAGAUUGCUAUUUGCCUUCUAUAAUGGCACCAUACCCCAACCUUAAGUCUGAUAAGUCAAAAAUGUGAUAAUCACCUGUGUUUUGGUCCCACAAAAUCUGAUGAUGCUGUUUCUUUAACUUGAUUGAUGUGUUGGCAUAGUUGGAUAGCUUCUUAAAUUCUCUGAUUUGCUAAUAUCAAGUGCAUACUCACUACAUGCAUGGGUAAAUGGUUACCAAAUUUUAAAAUAAAUAUGAG